GCGCGGGUGCAGUGCGCGGGAGCGGCAGUGUGAGGAGAGUGGCGAGGCGGGAGAAGAAUUCCGGUGAUGCCAUCAGCAACUGUGUACCAGAGUAAAGAGGCUUGUGGCUGUGUGAGGCAUGGAGCGAGGGCGUGCCUGGGCCUGACUCAUCUUUACUGCUCCAGUGGCUGAUCCGCACCGAUAGUAGGAACUGCAAGGGAUCUUCAGCAUUGGUGAAAUACCUUGCAAAUUGCAGUAGGCAUGAGAAACCCGCUACUGAUCUCUCACCGUUGCAACUGGUCUUAGAAGGGAACAGUAUAGAUCAAAUGGCUUUUUCAGCUCGGGUGAUUUUUGU